GAUGAACGCUGGCGGCGUGCUUAACACAUGCAAGUCGAACGGGGGACAAUUUAAAGAAGCUUCGGCAGAUUUAGCUUGUUCCUAGUGGCGGACGGGUGAGUAACGCGUGGGUAACCUGCCUCACACUGGGGGAUAACAGUCAGAAAUGACUGCUAAUACCGCAUAAGCGCACAGAGCUGCAUGGCUCAGUGUGAAAAACUCCGGUGGUGUGAGAUGGACCCGCGUUGGAUUAGCCAGUUGGCAGGGUAACGGCCUACCAAAGCGACGAUCCAUAGCCGGCCUGAGAGGGUGGACGGCCACAUUGGGACUGAGACACGGCCCAGACUCCUACGGGAGGCAGCAGUGGGGAAUAUUGCACAAUGGGGGAAACCCUGAUGCAGCGACGCCGCGUGAAGGAAGAAGUAUCUCGGUAUG
rnacentral:rRNA from 1 species